AGUAGUAAUUAAUGAAUCUCUCCAGUAGUGUCCUCCCCGCUGAGUUGGAAGGAUGUCAUAUCACUCUCCAUGUUUACAUGAGUGGCAGCCCCUACAAGUGGAAAUCAGAAGUGAUUUGGAGUGAUCACGCCUACUCAGUGGUUACUGAGGGAGGUCUAGGCCCGUUUUGCCAGCCAGAAAUAGGCCAGAAGAAGCCAGAAAAUAAGCGUCCGUGCCUGGGUUUGGUGGUGCCCGCCGCCACAACAACCAGUACGUACGCCCAUAAUUGAAUUUCACGCCACGGCUAAACAGCAACUCAAAAAUACAUUUGAGCACAGAACAUUUUCAACCUGGAAUAAUCUGCAGUGCCACCUCUGGAAAUAUCUGCAGAAACUCGCGUUACACCCUGUAUAUAUAGUACGAGUUUUACCAGCUGCAGACCUAUUGGCCUUCACGAAGUUGCAUGCUGUUGAUAAUCUUCGAUAUCUAAUCUAGAUAAGAGAGGAUGAUGUCGGUGGGAACUCCCGCUAACCUUUAGUGGCGUAUGACAACCCUCACCUGCAGGAACAGCCAUGUCCAAGAGCAGAAGAGUGCCUGAGACUAGAUACAAGGUCAUGGAAAGACACCGUCUGCCUACACGCACGGCGAUGGGCGUUGUGAGGAUGAUGGCUGUGAAGUCCAUCACUCCUGACAAGGCCACGUACAUAAAUGGAUCAUUGCUGAAAAAAAUGAAUAGGUAGCCUAAAUACAAUUUUGUUACAUAAGAUCAAUUAAGUAUUGCCAUAUUUUCCCUCUUCUACAAACGUCUGUACCAUUUAUCUGUAAUAAUUAUUUUCCUUUUUCCCUAUCACACUACAAUAUUCUGAAAUAAUUAACUUUUUUUUUUUUUUUUUUUUUUU